AUCUAACUAAGGAAAAGCUUCCUAACAACUACAGCUCCCCCAAAUGAGAUGGGCUUCCUGGACAGAGACCUAGAAGACAAGCAAAGGAGAGGACUCCAGAAUGGGAGCACCUCCAGGUUCCAGCUUUCCAAUCUGGUUGGAUGUAUUUCUCUCUGGCAGAUCCAAGUGAGGUGAUGGGCAUCCUGCCUUCUUAUGCCAUACCCACUGGGAUGGGUCACUCAGCCCCCAUAGAUAAAGGACUCACACUUCUGGGUGUCCAUAUUGAAAAACCACCUAGUGAAAACCCCUCGGCAGACACCCUGAUCUUCAGGCAACUGGCAUUUGCCUAAAGAGAGACACCAAGAAGGUCAGUGCAAGGCUGCAGAGGACCAAGGCUUAUGUCGGGGCUACUUCCUGCGCUGGUUCUUUAACAAGACAUCCCAAAAGUGUGAACCCUUCAUCUAUGGAGGGUGCGGGGGCAGCAGCAACAACUUCCACUCCAAGCUUCAGUGCAUUGGAAAGUGCAUCCUUUGGGGCUAAAGAGAAGAAACCAUCUAUUGUCAGGCAGAGCCCAGCCUCCCCUGGCCUCUGGAGGGUUCAGCCUGCAGGCCUCUAUGCCAAUCCCUGGUGUCCAUGCCCCUAGUCUUGUGCUUACUCCAGGAACUGAUUCCUCACUCCCCAUCUAUCUGCACCCUCCUCGUCUCUCUCCAUAAACCCUCAGUCCCAUGUUCUCCACCUGGGUUGGUAUUAACCCUCCCUUCAGGUCCCUGAAAUAAAGUGCCCAUCUCCCCAUGGAACUGUCCAGCGUGUCAUCUAGCUUUUGCCCCAUGCUCAGCCUAUGCUAGUCAAGGUCCCCUUAGAAAGUAGCUAGCCAGCUCCAGUACAGUGUUUCCAGGUAUCCUGUCUUCUCAGUUCCAUCCCUGAACACACUGUGGUCCAAGCAGAAGGCAAC